rnacentral:rRNA from 1 species
AUGGAAUAAUAAAAAUAAUUGUAUUUCCUUUUUCACGAAAAGAGAUGAGCUAAAAAGUAAGUGGUGUAGCAACUUAUCUGUGUGUGGUAUUACACAGCAUUUAUAACUUUUUAGGGGUGAUAUGCCUUUCAAGUCUUUAAAUAACUUGAUUUACAGAAAAAAUAUUUAGUAUAUAAGACAACUUAUAAAUGUUAAGGUUUUUAAGGAGUAUAAUAUUUAUUAUUUAAGAAGUUAAAAUGAUUAACAUUAAUUAAUUUCACUAUAAUAAAAUUCAUUAUGGUCUGUAUAUACAUAAUACUGUAAUGUAAAGGAAACUGUUCCAAUAUUAAAUAUGUUAUUAUAAGUAUUUAUAUAAAUUUUGUUAACGAACUCGGCAAUAAUUUUACUCAACUGUUUAUCAAAAACAUUGCUUUAUGAGAGAAUUAUAUAAGGUAACCCCUGCUCAAUGGUACGCUAAAUAGCCGCAGUACCUUGACUGUGCAAAGGUAGCAUAAUCAUUUGGCUUAUAAUUGAAGUCUGGCAUGAAUGGGACUAUGGGUAAAUACUGUAUCAUCUAAAUAAAUUGAAAUUACUAAUUAAGUGAAAACUCUUAAGGACAUAAAAUAGACGAGAAGACCCUAGAAAUUUUGUGUACAUGUGUAGAAAUCUGCAAAACUAUUUUGUUGGGGCGACAGAGCAGCAUGAAACCUGCUAACUUUUAUUAGAACUUAUUGAGAAGUAUAAAUAAAUUACUCUAGGGAUAACAGCAUAAUACAAAAGAGUUUGUGACCUCGAUGUUGGACUAGGAAAAUUAAUGUCUAGAAGAUAUUUAUAAAGGCUCUGUUCGAGCUAAGUUCCUACAUGAUCUG